rnacentral:tRNA from 1 species
UCUUAGGUGACUGAGCUAUUUAAGUGUUAGAUUUUUAAUCUAAAGACGGCAACUGUCUGCCCCUAAGAG